AAGUGGCGGAAACAGCUUGGGAUGUUACAAGUAUCAGAGAUUGCAUUCUAUUUACAGAAGCCUUGGUCUUGUUAAGUUUAUCGACGUUCUUUCCGGUGUGUUCUUGGCUAUGCAACUGGGAGAGUUUCUUGCCAUGCUUCAACUUCAGUUCCUCUCUCGCCUGCAAUUUAAAUUAUCAGCAAUUCAAUUUAUUUGAUUAUUUAUAGUAUUAUAUAUAAUUUUACCUUUACUUCUUUAAAGAGUUUCUUUUCCCAGGCAAGAAGACGCUCCAGAGUGGAGCAAUGAUUAGCGUUCAACAAACCCAAGACUCCACGUCCAGCGGAGGCGGCUUUCACGAAAUUCUCCUCCAAAGCCUCAGUGAUCUCCUUCAGAUUUCUGUAUCCAAAUGCGGCCCGCAUCAUUCC
rnacentral:lncRNA from 1 species